rnacentral:rRNA from 1 species
ACAUAACUGAUGCCUCCGCGUAUCGACUUUGUGCGCAUUUUAGCUAUUAUGUGUUCUUUUAAUUAAAAUGAUUCUUUUUAAGAUUCGUCUAUUAAAAAUUUGCUUCGGCAUAAUUUUUUUUGAUGAUCUUGUUACUUUGAGUAAAUUAGAGUGUUCAAAGCAAACAGAUAUAGCAUUUGUGCGUUCGAAUACUACAGCAUGGAAUAACAAAAUUGAACAAGUCAGAAUUUUUUUGUUCUUUUUUCUUAUUUUGGCUUAGUUACGAUUAAUAGGAGUAGCUUGGGGGCAUUUGUAUUCAGAUGUCAGAGGUGAAAUUCUUAGAUUUUCUGGAGACAAACAACUGCGAAAGCAUUUGCCUAAAAUACUUCCAUUAAUCAAGAACGAAAGUUAAGGGAGUGAAGACGAUCAGAUACCGUCGUAAUCUUAACCAUAAACUAUGCCGACUAGGCUUUGGAUGAAAGAUUUUAAAAUAAGAGUUUUUCUUUUCUCUCCGGAGAUUAGAACUCUUAGAUUGCUUCCUUCAGUGCCUUAUGAGAAAUCAAAGUCUUUGGGUUCUGGGGCGAGUAUUCGCGCAGGCGAGAAAGUUAAAAGAAUUGACGGAAGGGCACCACCAGGCGUGGAGCUUGCGGCUUAAUUUGACUCAACACGGGAAAACUCACUAGUUUAAGACAAGAGUAGGAUUGACAGAUUAAUAGCUCUUUCUUGAUUUCUUGGAUGGUGAUGCAUGGCCGUUUUUAGUUCGUGAAUAUGAUUUGUCUGGUUAAUUCCGAUAACGAACGAGAUCUUAACCUGCUAAUUAGCGGCAAAUACGAUAUAUUCUUAUGUAGAAUUGAAUAUAGUGGAUUUGUUAGAUUUUGAAGAAAAUAUUGGAAUUACGUUAAAUGUGAUUCCUUUCCCUUUUCUACUUAAUUUACAUUUCCAUCUAUUUCUUUUUUGCGUAUGAAUGUAUUUGCUUGAUUGUAAAGCUUCUUAGAGGAACGAUGUGUG